rnacentral:sRNA from 1 species
AACGCAAAAAUUAUGUGACAAUUCAUUGUACUGGUUAUUUAAAGAGUUGGCCGUCAUCCAAGAUACCAUUACAUGAUGAUCCUGAAGACACGUUUGGUGAAGACUGUAUACUCAGCUGUUUGGUUGCUAUAGCCAGAGUACAGCCAUCUCAAAUUCCCCAAUCAACUGGAUCUAACAGUGCAGAGAUCGUACCAACAGAGUUUGUAUCACGACAUGCUAUGGAUGGACGAUUCACUUUUGUCGACCAAAGAGCGACUGCUAUACUAGGUUUUCUACCUCAAGAACUAUUGGGUACAUCAUGUUAUGAAUAUUAUCAUGCAGAUGACAUCCCUCCACUAGCUGAGAGUCACAAAGCUGUUUUGGCUGGUAAAGAUAAGAUUAUGACGACUGUGUAUAGAUUCCGAGCCAAAAAUGGCAAAUUUGUAAAAAUGAGAACCAAAUCAUUCUGUUUUCGAAAUCCUUGGACCAAAGAAGUAGAAUAUAUUGUUUGUACGAAUACAUUGAUUUCGUGUCCAGAGACUGCUGACUUGUCAAGUUUUAACGUAGAUGAGGAUGUUGGCAAAAUCAACAUUAAAGAACCAAUCUCAGUACCAGGAAUUCCAUGUUCAACUAGAAUAGGGGCUGGGAAAAUUGGAAGGAUGAUUGCUGAUGAGAUUGAUAAUGUAGAUCUGGAGAUUAGGUCUCCCAUUGAAGCUGAGGGUAGCAGUAGUAGGUGUCAAGGUACCUUGUCUUCAACAGUCUCUCUAUCCUGCAGUGACAGUCAUCUUCGGAGUACUGAAUACGACGGUGGAACAACAACAAACACCACAAGUAAAAAUGCUGACUUAUCCUCGCUUAGUAGGCAGACCCCAAACACGAAUUUGGCAUCAAGCUCAGUGCAAGGCAAAGCCAGCAACCAAAGUGGUAAAUCCACGGAGAGUACAAGUCAACUGGCCCAGAUGCUGGCAUCAACCAGAAGUACAGUUCAAAUGACUGAUCUACUUGACAGAUUCCUAGACAAGCCUAGCAUAGUUACACAGGCAACUACUUCAAACUCACCAGUUACCAUUAGUUGCAGUGAUAAUGAUGACUCGGCCAUGUCUGUCAUAAUGAAUCUCUUAGAAACAGACGCUGGACUCAGUGGCCCUAUGGAUGUUAAUGAUUUGUCUUGGUCAUUGUAAGGGACAUUUGUAUUGGCUCUGCCGUAUCUCAAUAUUAUUUAUAGCUUUAUCACCGGAUUGGUGUGUUGUGUGUUUUUUUCGGCACUUUGUCAUAACAAGACCAGUUUUAUUUUUUUCUAUCUUUCUAAAGUGGGUAUGUUUCAUAACAAUUUUUGAAGCUCAUUGUAUACAGUGAUAUUUAUGAAUGCUACUCAAUUCUCAGUACGUUGUAUAUGAAUGUGUGCAAUGUUUUGUGCAUUGCAUCAAUGUUCAGUGUAUUUUCCAGGUACAAACUUGUUAGAGGUUGUCUCAUAUAUGCUUGAAAUAGUAUUGUAAGUCAAAAUGUUAAUCUUAUUAAAAUUUAGAUUUUCACUUGGUUUUAGCUACCAAGAAUAUGAAACCAAAAUCAACUUGUCCUAGUAACGAGUUUUGAAAAAACGAAAAAAAUAAAUUGGCAUUAUUUGAUCGCCUAUUAACCCUGACAGUUGAUAUGAUUCAAAUACUGGUAGUUUUGGAUUCUCAGUCAAGCAGGGGCUUAAUAAACUUUGUAAUCAUAACUUUACUGGUACUUUUUGGUUUAAUAUAUUUUGAUGUUUUCCAGUAUGGCAUGCUAAAACAAACAACAUAAGUUCUAAAUAGGGAUAACAAAAAAUCAUUUUAUGCCAUUUUCUUCAGUAAAAAUAUGCAAUACACGGGAUGGCAGUCACAACUGUGUCUGUAUGAUGGCUUGACUGGUAGUUCAUUGCAUUUUUAUUUGGCCUUCUAUGUAAAUCAGUGAUUACUGUUAGUACUGUAAAGCACCAAAAGUCACUACUGAAUCAAGUUGAGUUUAUCUUAACAACAUUUUUUUCUUCGCAGAUGCCUUAAAGUGACAUGUUAACUGUGUAUUCUAAUGUAUAAGAAAAAAUGAUUUCUGUAUGCAAUACAUAUGUAACAUGAAAUCCCUAUGUGCUUUAACUAUAGUUACAUGUAUCUGCACCAUACAGUACUGUCAACUAUACUGGUACCAUAUUAGCUCUCUAAUAAAAGUGAAAACCUGACCUCAGAUACACAUCUAGUGGGUUCAUAGUGAUCUACAAUUGAUACUAAUUUUGGAAAUAGAAAACAAUGACUUGAUGAUGCUGAUUAUACCUAUACCAGUGGUCUAUAAUGACUGUAUAAAAGAUAUACAUGAAUUCAGACGAUGGUUACAAAAUAAACAUGCUGGAUUACAAGUUCUGUACAGUGUAUGUCUACAGAAAUGUAACAAAAGUAGUCAGCAACACUCACAAAUGAUAAUAUAAUGUAAAAUAAUGUAAUCAGCAAUCAUUGAGUCUGACUUGCUAUUAAUUGUCAUGGUUUGCAUAUCUGGAAUGCAUGUUUCAGUCAAAAUUCACUAACAGCUGUGUAUCUUUCAGUCUAUUGUAUCAAGCACAUUAUAUUUGAGUUUGAUGAAGUACAUCCGCAUUUAAUAUGAAAACUAAUUGGUGUAUCAUGUUUGUUUUAUAUAGACAUACCUUUUAAAUAUUAGAAAUUAUUUUGAAAAGUAAUGAUAAUUGAAGCUCUCUGUGCAUGAAACCUCUGUAAGUUCAAUGUGUGUGUUGAAUAAUGUCAUUGACCCCCCCCCCCACCCAAUUGUAUUUGUAGAAAAAAAUGGUAUAAUUUGUAAUUGUCAUCCUGACCCAUUUAAUAAAAAAGCAAUAAGUUUCCUUCAUUCGGCAAUAACACUGUAAUUUUUGCAAUAUAAGUUGACACAAUGCCUAGAGAUUAAUAAAACAUGUACUUUAUUAAUCUUAAGGUUUCUUAAAGAAUAUUUAAUAUGAAUUGCAAAUACAUGUAGUGCAGCAAAAUUAUGGUGGGAAACAUACAAACCAGAAUUUUGCCAGGAAAAAUGAUUCAUACGAGAUAAUAAAAUAGAGUAAGUUACUGACAUCUGGUUUUUAUGAUCAGUGCAAAUGUCUUCAUUCUGUUCAAUUAUUACUAAAUAUUAUCUAUUAUAUAUCGUAAUGUUCAGCAGUAACAGAAAUGUGUGAUAUUCUAAAGUUUAAUUUUGCAUUCAAAACCACAAGGUACAAACUAGCUUCGUUUUAUACUAGUGCCAUAUAUUAAAACAACUUGUGGAAAUUAGAAGGCUGCAUGCCAUAGUCAUGUGUUAUCAAUAACAGUAUAUGAAGUAAUAUUUAUGUGGCACUUAUUGUGAAAAACAGUGCAACGGAAUGGGUCUAAAAUUUCCAUAUUUUUGAAAUAUAUGUAUUUGGCAUUAUUAAAUAUUGUUCCCUUGAAUGAUACCAAUUCUGGUAGCUCUAGGCAAAGUCAGAAACUUUAAUGGCUGCUAUUGUAAUUCAGCUCAUUAGUUCUAUGCAUUGAGGUGACCACAAGUAGUGAAAUCACAAACUAUUGUUUACUAUUGUACUUAAAUUCUGGUAUUGCAAGUACUCCCUCCCAUUAUUACCAUGUUUAUGUCAAUUGCAUAUCCAGCUUAAUUAUGCAAAUUGAGAAAGAUGUAAAUUAUUUAUAUUUCAUGUUGUGUACAAUUUUAUACUAAGAUUUGAUAUUGUCUUAAAAUAUUUAAAUGUCCAGCAAAUUAAAUUGGCCUUUAUCAUAUCUCUUGUGAAAUGAAACGUAUUUCUAACUUAUAAUAAUAUAAUUUUAAAUAUAUAGUAUCUAUUAAAUUCAGAUAAAGAUUAUAGAUAAGCUUUAUUGAUAUUUUAAAACAAAUUGUUAACCAUGUAAGUUAUAUUUGUUUACUACAACCGCAAACUCGUUGAAAGAUUCUCUCAGUGUGCAAAUUUAAAAUUGUAAGUUUGAUUGCAUAUGUGUGUGUUUUUGAGCCAAUGUAUCAUUUUGUUUUGUUGAGUUUAAUGUGACAUUUAGACAUAUGCUAAGAUCCUGGAGUCUUCAAUGAUUGGUUCUCUGCUGAGUACAAUGUAUUUAAGUAUCAAAUAUUUUCAUUAUUUGAUUUUAUUAUUUGGUGAAGUUCAGUAUUAUACCGGUAAUUAUUUUAGCAAAUAAUCUAUUUGGUUGAAUUCUGUUUACAUUGAUUUUUUCUGUAUGGGAACAGCUAAAUAAAGUGGCAUGCAAACAAUACUGCAAGUGA